CCUACGGGAGGCAGCAGUGAGGAAUAUUGGUCAAUGGGCGGGAGCCUGAACCAGCCAAGCCGCGUGCGGGAAGAAGGUACAGCGUAUCGUAAACCUCUUUUGUCAGGGAACAAAGGCGGGGACUAGUCCCCGGCUGAGGGUACCUGAAGAAAAAGCAUCGGCUAACUCCGUGCCAGCAGCCGCGGUAAUACGGGGGAUGCGAGCGUUAUCCGGAUUUAUUGGGUUUAAAGGGUGCGGAGGCGGCCUGUUAAGUCAGCGGUAAAAGCACGGGGCUCAACCCCGGCGAGCCGUUGAAACUGGCGGGCUGGAGUUGGAGAGAGGUACGCGGAAUGCGCGGUGUAGCGGUGAAAUGCUUAGAUAUCGCGCAGAACCCCGAUUGCGAAGGCAGCGUACCGGCUCCACACUGACGCUGAGGCACGAAAGCGUGGGUAUCGAACAGGAUUAGAUACCCUAGUAGUC
rnacentral:rRNA from 1 species